rnacentral:rRNA from 1 species
UAGCCGUAGUCGAUGGGAAGCGGGUCAAUAUUCCCGCACCAGCCAACGAUGCGAUGGGGGGACGGGGAAGGUUAUGCCGGCCGGGUGUUGGACGUCCCGGUUCAAGCGUGUAGACGUGCUGCGUAGGCAAAUCCGCGUGGCUUAGUCGAGGCGUGUUAACGAGGGCUGGCUUGCCAGUCUGAAGUGGCGGAUACCAUGCUUCCAGGAAAAGCCUCUAAGCUUCAGUCGUUGGGUGACCGUACCGCAAACCGACACAGGUGGGCGAGCUGAAUAUGCUCAGGCGCUUGAGAGAACUCGGGUGAAGGAACUCGGCAAAUUGACACCGUAACUUCGGGAUAAGGUGUGCCUCUGCUAGGUGAACGUGUACAACGGGAGCCGAGAGGGGCUGCAAAAAAUCGGUGGCUGCGACUGUUUAACAAAAACACAGCACUCUGCUAAGACGAAAGUCGACGUAUAGGGUGUGACGCCUGCCCGGUGCCGGAAGGUUAAAUGAUGGGGUGCAAGCCCUUGAUUGAAGCCCCGGUAAACGGCGGCCGUAACGAUAACGGUCCUAAGGUAGCGAAAUUCCUUGUCGGGUAAGUUCCGACCUGCACGAAUGGCGUAACGAUGGCCACACUGUCUCCACCCGAGACUCAGCGAAGUUGAAGUGUUUGUGAAGAUGCAAUCUCCCCGCGGCAAGACGGAAAGACCCCGUGCACCUUUACUGUAGCUUUGCAUUGGACUGUGAUGAGGUUUGUGUAGGAUAGCUGGGAGGCUUUGAAGCGGGGGCGCUAGCUCUCGUGGAGCCAACGUUGAAAUACCAGCCUGACGUCAUUGCGGUUCUAACCUGGCUCCCUCACCGGGAGCGGGGACCGUGCAUGGUAGGCAGUUUGACUGGGGCGGUCUCCUCCCAAAGCGUAACGGAGGAGCUCGAAGGUUCGCUUAGCGCGGUCGGACAUCGCGCUGGACGUGCAAGGGCACAAGCGAGCUUGACUGCGAGACUGACAAGUCGAGCAGGUACGAAAGUAGGACCUAGUGAUCCGGUGGUUCUGUAUGGAAGGGCCAUCGCUCAACGGACAAAAGGUACGCCGGGGAUAACAGGCUGAUACCGCCCAAGAGUUCAUAUCGACGGCGGUGUUUGGCACCUCGAUGUCGGCUCAUCACAUCCUGGGGCUGUAGCCGGUCCCAAGGGUAUGGCUGUUCGCCAUUUAAAGUGGUACGUGAGCUGGGUUCAAAACGUCGUGAGACAGUUUGGUCCCUAUCUGCCGUGGGCGUUGGAGAUUUGACGGGGG